UUCGGAGCCAGAACACAGGUGCUGCAUGGCUGUCGUCAGCUCGUGCGUGAGAUGUUGGGCUAAGUCCCGCAACGAGCGCAACCCUUGUCAUUAGUUGCCAUCAUUUAGUUGGGCACUCUAAUGAGACUGCCGGUGACAAACCGGAGGAAGGUGGGGAUGACGUCAAGUCCUCAUGGCCCUUAUGGGUAGGGCUUCACACGUCAUACAAUGGUCGGUACAGAGGGUUGCCAAGCCGCGAGGUGGAGCCAAUCCCUUAAAGCCGAUCGUAGUCCGGAUCGUAGUCUGCAACUCGACUACGUGAAGUCGGAAUCGCUAGUAAUCGCAGAUCAGCAUGCUGCGGUGAAUACGUUCCCGGGUCUU
rnacentral:rRNA from 1 species